rnacentral:rRNA from 1 species
GACGAAGGAUGCAAGCGUUAUCCGGAUUCAUUGGGUUUAAAGGGAGCGUAGGUGGCCUUAUAAGUCAGUGGUGAAAUCCCGCAGCUUAACUGUGGAAUUGCCAUUGAUACUGUAGGGCUUGAGUACAGAUGCCGUUGGCGGAAUAUGACAUGUAGUGGUGAAAUACAUAGAGAUGUCAUAGAACACCGAUUGCGAAGGCAGCUGACGAAACUGUAACUGACACUGAGGCUCGAAAGUGCGGGGGAUCAAACAGG